ACGAUUGCGCAAGAAAAAUGCGCGAAAAAAAGAGGUGAAGAGAAAUAAAGGAACUCCCUGACAAGAGCCGGUGGGUAGGAGGGCCGACCUGUGGCGGGGGGUGAUGGAAAGAGCAGCGACGGGUUAACGUUUGGGUGUGGUAAGCUGAUGUCGAAUUGGCCUGCUUACCGUUGAGCGUGCUAUUUCGUUUACCUUCUUUCCUCAUACUGUCAAUAUGAAG
ensembl:ncRNA M79.7 ncRNA